GACGAACGCUGGCGGCGUGCUUAACACAUGCAAGUCGAACGGUGAAGGGACUGGUUUUGCUGGUCCUGGAUGAGUGGCGAACGGGUGAGUAACACGUGAGUAACCUGCCCCCUUCUUCUGGAUAACCGCAUGAAAGUGUGGCUAAUACGGGAUAUUCUGGGUCUGUCGCAUGGUGGGCCUGGGAAAGAUUGCGCCUUUUUUGGUGUUUUUGGUGGGGGAUGGGCUCGCGGCCUAUCAGCUUGUUGGUGGGGUGAUGGCCUACCAAGGCGGUGACGGGUAGCCGGCCUGAGAGGGUGGACGGUCACACUGGGACUGAGACACGGCCCAGACUCCUACGGGAGGCAGCAGUGGGGAAUAUUGCACAAUGGGCGCAAGCCUGAUGCAGCGACGCCGCGCGAGGGAUGGAGGCCUUCGGGUUGUGAACCUCUUUCGCCAGUGAAGCAGGCCUGCCUCUUUUUGUGGGUGGGUUGACGGUAGCUGGAUAAGAAGCGCCGGCUAACUACGUG
rnacentral:rRNA from 1 species